rnacentral:rRNA from 1 species
UUCAUGGAGAGUUUGAUCCUGGCUCAGGACGAACGCUGGCGGCGUGCCUAAUACAUGCAAGUCGAGCGAACCGACGGGAGCUUGCUCCCUUAGGUUAGCGGCGGACGGGUGAGUAACACGUGGGUAACCUGCCUGUAAGACUGGGAUAACUCCGGGAAACCGGGGCUAAUACCGGAUGCUUGGUUGAACCGCAUGGUUCAAUUAUAAAAGGUGGCUUUUAGCUACCACUUACAGAUGGACCCGCGGCGCAUUAGCUAGUUGGUGAGGUAACGGCUCACCAAGGCAACGAUGCGUAGCCGACCUGAGAGGGUGAUCGGCCACACUGGGACUGAGACACGGCCCAGACUCCUA